GAUUUGUAUAAUUGCGUUUGAACUCUUAACUGCACAUAAAUGGAAAUACACUGCAGUUUUAUCGCACACAUCUGUAAUACUUAAUAUAAAAAAAUCAUGUUAUAAUGCGUUAUAGCCUACAUAAGGAUAAUACGCACUGGAUACCCUUAUUAUAUGGUAGCUUUAUAAAUGCAUUGACAUGAGAACAGAAAUAAGCACCGACGACCAACGGAUAAAACUAAUGAGACAAAAGUAAUCUUCGUGCGCAGGUUACAUGCAAGAGCUGCUUGUGCAAAAAAGCCUAGGAAUAUGUGGAAUAGUAAGUACUGUUUUCGCACUGACAUGAGGUUUAUCAGCGGUUUCCAUUCCACAGCGGCGCGACUAUCAUGAGCAGAAGACGCGCGCAGCGUGCAAAGUCGUAACAUGACCAAGUCCAGCCCUGCAAUAAGACCACAAGAAACUUGUUCAAUAGGAAACUGAGUACAAAAUUACGUCCCAAUGGAGCUCUCACGCUUGCUUCAAAAUCUUGUACACUGGUGAAGGGAAACGCACGUCGUGAUUCUACUUUAGAUACCUUUAUGAUGAAGCGUCGUUUUCUACGUGAAGAUUGUUUAAUGUCUUGGCCACCCCAAUUGCCCCAGCCAGGCAGGCUUAAAUCCAUAUCAUUGGGUUUGCUCUUUUUCAUCUAUAGAUUAUCAUUAAUUUUUUAAUAGAAAAUUGAGUAUAAAUUAUCAUUAGUAAAUUACUUUAUAAUAUUAAAAAAAUGUUAUUUA